UACGGAGGGUGCAAGCGUUGUUCGGAAUUACUGGGCGUAAAGCGCGUGUAGGCGGACAUGCAGGUCAAAUGUGAAAUCCCUUGGCUCAACUGAGGAACUGCAUCUGAAACCGCAUGUCUUGAGUACGAAAGAGGAGUGUGGAAUUCCCAGUGUAGAGGUGAAAUUCAUAGAUAUUGGGAAGAACACCAGUGGCGAAGGCGGCACUCUGGGUCGAUACUGACGCUGAUACGCGAAAGCGUGGGGAG
rnacentral:rRNA from 1 species